UUGAAAAUCCAUCCGAACUGCAUUAGAGAGAAAAAGAGAAUAAAUAAAUAAAUAUAUGUAUGUAUAAAUUAAAUCCAGCUUGCGAGAGAGUAAAAACCCAGGCUAUUACACCACUGAAGAGAGAGAAUGAGAGUAAGCCCAGCUCCCAUAUCAUCUCUCUAUCUGUGCGUGAUAGAGUGAGAAAGCCAAUGAGAUAAAGAGAGAUAUUUAGCAUGAGAGAGCGCGAGAGAGAGUAAACCCAAAAUCCUUCAACCCUCUCGAUAAGGUGAAAAAUGGCUCCGAAGCUAACUGCAAAACAAAAGAGAGAGUAUAUGUUAGCGAUUGCAGACUUCAAGCUUACUAACCAGUGGAAUAAUAGCAUCGAAGGAUGGUGGGAAAAGCUCAAGAAUGUUGAUACUGUAGACUGGAGAAAUGAAAGGUGUGUUCUUCCUCCCGUUCCACACAUAAUCAGAAGUAAGUAAUUUCAAAACCCCUGCAAUUUGGCAGUGCGAUAAAUAAAAGGGGUAUUCUUUUUGCGCUUAUAUUUACAAGUUUGCAUUUUAUGAACAUGUUUUGAGUUGCGUUUGCUUGUAUAUAUUGUAUUGGAUAAUGCUAGGGAAACUAAAUUUGUAAAUAAAAUAUUGAAAGUUAAAUGACAUGGAAGUUGACGAUUGAUUUAUUACUUAAACGUUGAUAAAUAUGUUCAAUCCUAUUGAUUACAUGAUAUAUCUAUGUUUAGUUUUGUAUAACAUGAGUACAUAUUGAUUUUACUAGUAUACAUUUUUGUGUUAGGUUUAUGGUAGAUUUGGGUUUUCAAUUGUGUAAGCGUGUUGAAACUUGAAAGAGAAUAAUUUUUUUAGAUGGUAUUAAAAUAGAACUAAAAAAUUGCCUUUAAUUAAAACUUAUCAUCUCAAUUCGUUCCAACAAGCUUAAACCACCAAAAAAACAACACUGAUCAAUUCGAAAAUCAAAGCUUGUUGAGGUAGGAAUAAUAAAUCUCUUAAGCUUUUGACACCUCACCUCCUUCAAGUUUGAGGUCCAAUGGCAACUUGCCAUGUGUCCAACAAAAAGGAAAUCUAAUCUCUGUUUUCCUUUUAUUUAUGUCACUAAAUUUCAUUUGAUGCAAUACUAUUAAAGAAAGAGUAAUGUUAGGUAGGACCAAACUUUUUAAACCAAAUUGUGGUUGUAGAUGGAUGGAUUAUUAAUUAAGUGUUAAUUAACGCGCUUGUUUCUUAUUGGCAACCAUACGUGUGAUGAUUGCGAUUUGUGGGGCAGUAUCAACAUAAUAUUAUAUUCCCACCAGAGAGAUGCAUUCACUAUCUCGAGAGAGUAUUGUAUUGGCAGUUUUCAAGGAGAGGGCACUCAAGGCCAGAAUGCUGAGGGAUGUGGCAAAGAGAAAUAGUGUACUUUGGAAAAUGGGUGGGAUGAAACCGGACUGUGAUAUCUCUUUGGAAGAUGGCUUGAAAUACACAAUGAAAUUUGGCAUUCCAUUUGAAGAGGAAUGACUUCUAGACAGUAGUGUUCGGCCAGUGGGGAAUCUCAAAUCCUUCAAAAUAGUGGACUACAAAAAAGUUGGCCAAAAAGAUGUGGUAACCAUAAAGCAUAUGCUGCGGCAAUUUUCGACCCACCAUCACAUAACAUAGCAAGGGUAAUGACAGCAGCAUAUGCUUUAUGGUUACCACAUCCUUUUGGCCAACUUUUUUGUAGUCCAUUAUUUUGAAAAAUUUUAGAUCCCCAUUGGCCGAACACUGUUGUCUAGAGGCCAUUCCUCUUCAAGUGGAAUGCCAAAUUUCAUUGCGUAUUGUAAGCCAUUCUCCAAAGAGAUAUCGCAGUCCAGCUUCAUCCCACCCAUUUUCCAAAGUACAUUAUUUCUCUCCGCCACAUCCCUUAGCAUUUGAGUCUUGACUCUUGAGUGCCCUCCUUGAAAACUCCCGAUACAAUACUCUCUCUCGAGAGUGAAUGCAUCUCUCCAGUGGGAAUAUAAUAUUGUGAUGAUACUACCCCAUAAAUCGCAAUCGUCACACAUAUGGCUACCAAUAAGAAACAAGCACGUUAAUAAUCCAACCAUCUACAACCACAUCAUUUAGUUUGCAAAUUUGGUUUAAAAAGUUUGAUCUACCUAACAUUACUCUUUCUUCAAUAGUAUCGCAUCAAGUGAAAUUUAGUGAUAGAAAGAAAAGGAAAACAAAGAUUAGAUUUCCUUUUUGAUGGACACAUGGCAAGCUGCCAUUGGACCUCAAACUCGAAAGAGGUGAGGUGUCAAAAGCUUGGGAGAUUUAUUAUUCCUACGACAACAAACUUUGAUUUUCAAAUUGAUUAGUGUUGUUUUUUUUGGUGGUUUAAGCUUGUUGGCAUGAAUUGAGAUGAUAAGUUUUAAUUAAAGGAAAUUUUUUAGUUCUAUUUUAAUACUAUCUUAAAAAAUUAUUCUCUUUCGUUUCAACACACUUACACAAUUUAAAACCCAAAUCUACCAUAAACCUAACACAAAAAUGUAUACUAGUAAAACUGAAAUGUACUCAUGUUAUACAAAACUAAACAUAGAUAUAUCAUGUAAUUAAUAGAAAUGAGCACGCUUAUCAAUAUUUAAAUAAUAAAUAAAUUGUCAAUAAAUAAGUUGUCAACUUCUAUGUCAUUUAGCUUUCAAUAUUUUGUCUACAAAUUUAGUCUCCCUAGCACUAUCCAAUACUAUAUAUACAAGCAAAUGCAACUAAAAAGCAUGUUCAUAAAAUACAAACCUAUAAAUAUAAGUGGAAAAAGAACACCCCUUUCAUUUAGUCGCACUGUCAAAUUGCAGGGGUUUUGAAAUUACUUACGUCUGAUUAUGUGUGGAACGGGAGGAAGAACACCUGGCCCUUUCAUUUCUCCAGUCUACAGUAUCAACACUCUUGAGCUUUUCCCACCAUGCUUCGAUGUUGUUAUUCCACUGGUCAGUAAGCUUGAAGUCUACCAUUGCUAACAUACAUUGUGAAAUCCCAUUCCCGAAUUCCAUUGUUCAAUAGUUCGUAUUUUCAGGAAAUUAAUAUUAUUUUCUGUUAAUUUAGAAGCCUUAGUUAGUUAUGAAGUUUGAUUUUAUUAAAAUCCAUAGACAGAGCGACACUAAAUAUUUUUAGAUAGAGUUUGAUCUCACGAGCAAGUGGAGUGAAAACCGCCUGUGAAACGAGAUUGUAACGAAGGAGAAACUACUGAACAAGUUUACGGGUAUUUUUGUAAAUUUAGUUUAGUCCAAAAUAUUUUGGAUGUUUAGGUUUGCGGGGGCCCCACGCCCUUUCUUUUUCCUGCUGCGUUUUCUCUCCGAGGAGGGGGAGAACUCUUUCUUCCCUUUCUAUCUCAUUUUUGGUGGGGGGUUGCAUAGGGAAGGAAGUCGUCACUUCCCACCACCUCUCCCAAAUUCAUCUCGCCGUCGAUCACCAUCACAUCUUGCUUUCCUCCAUCUUCCAACCCCAUCUCCCUAUGGUAUAGAUCAACUCUACACCCUAGCUUAAAUCCAGUUAUAUAAGUGGAGACACAGGACAACUAGAACUGAGGGAGAGAGAGAGAGGGUGACAGAGAAGGCAAGGAUGAGAAAAGGAAGAAGAGGGUUGAAGAAGGUGGGUCUGAAUCAUGAAAUAAACAUGGUUUUGUAUGUUGUUAUCCUAUGGAUGGAAAGUCUUGGUAAUUAUUCUCUGAUUCUCUUAAACCCUUAUAUGGUCAUUUAUUUGGAUGCUACUAUGGGAAAUUAGUCUUAUAUGCAGUUGAUGUAGGUGUAAGUUUUUAUGUGAAUAUACUUAUAUGCUGCAAAA